CUUAGUAGUUGACCAGCGAUACGAGCGUCGGGAAGUACAAAUUCGUAUUUCUACGCUCUCGACUAUAAAAAACAUGAACGUUGACAAGUUAAUUAGUGAAAUAUAUGUGAGAUCACCUUUGUGGGACCGAAGAAAUAGUAAUCAUCAUAACAGAUUCGUUUUAGAUAAACUAUGGGAUGAAGUGGCCCAUCAAUUACACACAACACGAAUUACAGCCAGAAGUAAAUGGAAAGCAUUGAGGGAUCAAUUUAGGACUAUCCUGGCGUCGCUUCCUAAAUCAAAAUUAAAUGAUCUUACAAUGAAUUCCUACGAAGGCCAAUGGAAAUAUUUUCGACGUCUUUUAUUUUUAAAAGAUCAGUUUAGACUUAGAAUAUCUAAAGAAAAUUUUACAAUAAUGGAUGAAGACAAAGUUCUUAAUGAUACGUCUCAAAAUUUGCAAGAAGACAGCAAAUAUGUGGAUGAAAACGAGGACCAACUAUCGAUGCCGUCAGCAGGUGAAACUGUUUCAUCUAAACAGUGUACAGAAUCAGUAACACUGUCUUCUCGAUCUUCAAAUUCAGCUGGGAGUCAUCAAAAUAUUAAUACGAAAAGAAAGCAUUCCACAAGUGAGGACGUAGGUUCUGCAUUACUCGAAGUGGAAAAGAAGAAAGUUCAAUAUUUAGAAGAAAAGGGAUCACAAAAGGCAAAUGAAGACGAUGAUUUGAAUUUUUUUAGAAGCUUAUUGCCACAUAUCAAUACAUUAUCAUCUUAUGAUAAAAUGUCCUAUCGAAUAAAAAUAUUAAAAGUGACACAAGAUUUUUUGACAUCAAGCGAUCGAACAGAGAGAGCAGUUCAAAUCCAGCUACAAAAUCCAGCGCAAUAAAUAUUUCUAAUAACGCAAUCAAUCAUACUACUGAGAGUUACAUAAAUCAAACGAGUACGGCGUAAAUUACUACAAUAAUUGUCAGUUGCAGCGUUUUCAAGGAAAUGAAAAUCUAAGAGAUACUUCUACGUCACGAAUGUCGCAAUAUGAUAUAGUGGAACGAUAUUAUGUGAUUGAAUUCUCGAAUUUCUAUUUGCCAUGAAUAUUCUCAAUUGAAAAUCGUAUGAAGAUUGCAUGAAUCACGAAGGAGGAUACCCGAACACCAUUAUUGUACGACAGUUUCACUGAAAAGACUUCACUUCGUGCUCAUAACAAAGCUGUCCAUUCGAUAUAACGCGACGAUAAUCCAAGCUUCUUUUCAUUCCCCGCGUUGCCUUUAUUUCUGAAUAUGUUAUCUGUGAUGUGCAUUUCACGCAUACAUAACGCAUUUUACGUAAUCUUAGCCGAAGAAAGUGUUGUGUGCGUAAUCAUACGCGCUGUUUGAUGUCUGUCGGAAAAACCAAUCAAAAGUGACGGAUCGGAUGCCUUAUGAGUGCUUUAUUCUGUCAAGUGAGAUAAAUACGACUGUCACGUACGAUCUACGAAAGUUUGAUAAGAUCAUAUGCAAAAAUGCAAGAUUGCUUUGCGUGAUGCGCUUCUUCAAAAUAAAUAUGAGAUUCUUAUCAAUGUGAAAAACACUUAAUGUAGAUAUCUAAUUAAUUUACAAUUGUGUGCGCAUUUUUGAGAA